CUGUGCAGAAAUAUUCUCCAUAUGAUCUAGGCCAGUUCUGACCGCAGUGGAUCUCUUCUGUGUUUGUGAAUCCCAUGUCGGACCGAGCCGCUACAAGCUUUGGGCCGUCAGAAGAUGCUGAUGAGAUCUACGGCGACCAAACCAGAGGAGCAGUAAACAGUGAGAGCAUGUUCAGAACUGUGGACGUCCAAAAUCAGAAGUGCUGUGAGGAACCGGGACCUCCAGGAUGCUGAGGAGCCUCCUAGUCCCACCUGAGGACGGCACAGAGGAAAACACCUGCAGAGAAGCAGGUUGAAUAUGGAAGCAGCGUUCAAACAGUCGGAUCUCCGUGGAACAGAGUCCAUCCACACGUGUUUGGAGGUAUGUUGGUUGUUUGACUAGAGAGGAAUCACAUGCAGACAGUUUCAGACUCUGAGGACGCUUUGCUUUCAUUGGUGAAGGAGCUGAAGCAGAGGAUGGAGAACACAGACCACCAAGGAGGAGAAACAUGGCUGCCCUGCUCGUCUCUCCAACAUUCUGGAGUCCUGGAAUGAAAAACGACGACGACCCUGCAGCUAAACCAUCAGUCUGCUCCACCC